rnacentral:lncRNA from 1 species
UGAAGAGUAAAAAUCCGUUUUAUUUAAUACAACUCCCCUCAGGGGCCCUCUAGCCGGGUGGCUGAGGGAAGGCAAUGGGGGUUAGGUAUGAGAUUCCAUGGCAAAAUGGAGGCAGCUCCCAUCCGCCCACUCAAGCCACCCUCGGAAACAGCUCAGACCUCUGGAGACUGUUUCUUUAGCAGGGAAUAAAUAAAGAAAAAUUAGUGAGAAAAGUACACGUUUUCUUUUACUAUUAAAAAAAAAAAAAAAAACAAAAAAAACAGAAGGCCACUGUAGCCAACAGUUUCUCUUCCUUGGGCCUUCAGCACGGAGUGGAAAAGAAAGCAGUUUAAGGAUGUCUGCCCUCGCUCCAGUCUCGAGUUUUGCCAUUGCCGGCUUGAGGCCUGUCUUCAAAUGACCAUUCCGCGGGCAUUGCUCCCAGUCAGCUGCUGCCCCUUUGUGUGUGUGUGUGGGGGGGGGGGAGGCCAUGCAGGGGACCAGGCAAACCUGAGAAGCACUGUACACCUCCAAAGAUCAAGGUCAGACCAGAAAGAAAAAGAACAAAGAAACAUAACAAAACAAAAAACUAACCCAGUAUUUGACGGCAGCAGAGCAGAAAGCGGCUUCUGCGCGGGAGGACCCACCAAGAAGCACUCUGUCGAUCCGAUCCGAGACACAACAUCUGAGCCUCAAAACACUCCAGGGCGGAUUCUCCUGGAACCUCCUCUCACCUCCCAAAAAUGCAAGGAUGUUCCAGUUUAGAAGACAGGCUGGGUGGGCUGGCCAUUAAACAGCGCCUCCCAUUCUCUGCACACCCAACAUUAACAAGGCAGGAGGGAUUUACAAUUGGAUGGCUUGGCCUGAAGGAGUGCUACUUUGGGUGGGGACAGGGCUGGUUCAUAAAUA